rnacentral:rRNA from 1 species
UACGUAGGGACCGAGCGUUGUCCGGAAUCAUUGGGCGUAAAGAGCGUGUAGGCGGCCACUUAAGUCCUGCGUGAAAUCUUGCGGCUCAACCGCAAGCGGUCGUGGGAAACUGGGUGGCUAGAGUGCGGGAGAGGAGAGUGGAAUUCCUGGUGUAGCGGUGGAAUGCGCAGAUAUCAGGAAGAACACCCGUGGCGAAGGCGGCUCUCUGAAACGCAACUGACGCUGAGACGCGAAAGCGUGGGGAGCAAACAGG